UACGUAGGGUGCGAGCGUUGUCCGGAAUUAUUGGGCGUAAAGAGCUCGUAGGCGGUGUGUCACGUCGGCCGUGAAAACCUGCAGCUUAACUGUGGGCGUGCGGUCGAUACGGGCAUCACUGGAGUUCGGCAGGGGAGACUGGAAUUCCUGGUGUAGCGGUGAAAUGCGUAGAUAUCUGGAGGAACACCGGUGGCGAAGGCGGCAUCCUGGACCGACAUUGACGCUGAGGCGCGAAAGCCAGGGGAGCAAACGGG
rnacentral:rRNA from 1 species